GAAAGCCAAUCUAGAGUUGACUUUUCUGACCCUUGGCUGGGAAAAUGUUUUAUAAGUUGCUGAUUCCUGCCUAGCCUCAGCCCUACUUUUAUGUAUCAGCAAAGAAUUUCUGUCUCUUUGGAUUACCAGGGGAGCAGGGAGUCAUUUGGAACCGUUCAAGCCAAUAUGCUAAAAAAUGGGAUGAAAUUAAGGAAACCCAAAAUUAGAUGGAAUGCACUGAAAAAAACUUCCUGAAUGUGAGAUGGUCAUCACAGAUUGACCUUUCAAGGAAAAGCAAUGAGAACCAUGCUGCUAAAGACACCAAAGACCACAUCAUUGGGCCUUAGAGAGAGAGGAAGCUGGCUCAGAUAACCUGUUACUUCUUUUUCCAACUUCAAUUCCCAUGGCUCACAUAAUCACCAUAGGGAGCCAAGACAAUGAGUGGAACCAUGCCUUGGAUUGGGCCAAGAUAAACUGGGCCAAUGACCUGGUUAUUCUAAAUUGCUUGGCUCCAGGCCCCCACCUCAGAGAACAGACUGACUUUUUGUGGUCAUGAACUAUGGACCCUCCCUCCCAACUGCUGACUUGAAUCUAAUCAGAACACAGACUGAAUUCUACUACCCAGCCAGGCCUCUCAAAAUCAAAUCCAGAGACGUAGAAGCAUCUUAUAACAUGCUUGGUGGACCUGGAGACAGAAAGACCUAAGUUCAAAUCUUACUGGUUACUUACUAACCAUAUUACCUUGGGCAAGCCACAUAACUCCUGUUUGCCUCAGUUUCCUCAAGUGUAAAAUGCUUACCUAAUGCCAGUGGUGAGAUGGAAUUAUUCCUCUCAGAGACCAAAGGAAGAAAAAGAUAAGGUAUGUGAAAGUGACCAAGAAUAUACAAAAAAGUGGGAAAGAAAGGGAGGUCAGGACUAUUAUAAAAAUAAUUACAGACUUUAACCUGACUACCCCUGGGUACCUACAUUUAAUCCCGGUGAUAAAGCAAGAGCUCUGCCCAUUUUCAUUUCCCUCAUUUCUUGUUCCCAAUCUCUUUGUUAAGGAUCAUUUAGCAAAUUUUGGUACCUAAAUGUCAUGGGCUAUUACUAGAAUAUAAAAUUAAAAUGACGUUCAGAGAAUCAGGGAAAAGUUUUAAAGAACUGAUAUAAACACAAGUAGAGACAAGAAAGCACCAGAGUAAAAUAAGAAAACAUAUGCAUGACUACAACAACACAAAUGGAAAGAAUUGCUACCACAAAACAGAGGAAAAAGAAAGCCAGUGUUAGCUUUCAGGCCUACUUACUCCUAAUCCAUAUUUCCAGUUAGAGCACCCUAAACCCAUGUAUGAAUAUAAUGGAAUAAUACUAUGGCUUAAUAAACACUGAAUAUGAGGCAUAUGGGAAGAUCUGUAUUAAUUAACAGACUUAUGUAGAACCAAAAGAACAUAAUAUAUAAGGAGAGUAAUAACAUGAAUGUAAUCAUUACUAAAAUCAGUUAAAUUAUGCUUAAUUUUAUUGCAGUUUUGGUCUGGGAGAUAUGACAAUGAGGUACACUUUCCUUCUUUCAUUAGAGAUGUAGAACAUUACAGAUGUGAACAGUAGUAUCCAUUAUUAGACACAAUCAAUUUGCUUAUUGAAUUUAAUUUUUUUCUUUAUUAUCAGGAACUUUUAA